AUUUCGUUAAAGUAAUGUCAAGAUUUCUCACUUUGAUAUAGAUGAUAUUUGACCGAGAUGUCGUACCUCAUUACUAUCAUAGAAUACGUAAGCCCUCAUAAAUUGUGGCAAUUGGGUAUAGUCAACGAGUGGAGUGUGAUGAGAAAUCAUGAAAAGGACAACUCGACUCAUAUUCGUCGUAUAAAUUAGGGUUUGUUUUACGGGUGGAGUGAAGCGAGCAAAUCUUAGUCUCAUAUAACGACGUGACAGAACUUGACUUGAAUGAGAUGAGUCCCCAUUUAGUUGACACGGCGAGUCACUUCAUUUGAGUCGAGUAUUGUCACCUCGCUACACGAGACCGAGCUCUCACCUUGGUUCACUCUUAGAAUACAUAAACUCGCCUCAUUAGAGUUGAAUUUUGUCACUUAUACGGUAAGACCCAGAUGUCUCGUCUCAUUCCACUCCUAGAAUAAAAUCAAAUACAACAUGACGCAUCUUGAGCAAGUCGAUAAAUGAAUAGUUUGUCUAGAAUAGUUCGAUUUGCGGAACGUUUCGCAAGAGCUAUAAAUAUGAUAUUUCGAAGAAAUUGCAGAAAUAUGCCAACGGUACGCUUAGGCAAGCGAUUUUCAUAGAUUAACCUGCCCUUUUUACUUGUUUGCCAAGUCGUUGGUGAUUGAGAUGGAAAAGGUUAUCCCAGGUCUCAUUUUGAGCAGUGUUGAUUGAGACACACUCAAAUGUAAGUCAAUGAGUUUUCCCGCGAGAG